rnacentral:rRNA from 1 species
GACGAACGCUGGCGGCGUGCCUAAUACAUGCAAGUAGAACGCUGAAGAGAGGAGCUUGCUCUUCUUGGAUGAGUUGCGAACGGGUGAGUAACGCGUAGGUAACCUGCUUUGUAGCGGGGGAUAACUAUUGGAAACGAUAGCUAAUACCGCAUAACACUGGAUGCCACAUGCCAUUUAUUUGAAAGGGGCAAUUGCCCCACUACAAGAUGGACCUGCGUUGUAUUAGCUAGUAGGUGAGGUAAUGGCUCACCUAGGCGACGAUACAUAGCCGACCUGAGAGGGUGAUCGGCCACACUGGGACUGAGACACGGCCCAGACUCCUACGGGAGGCAGCAGUAGGGAAUCUUCGGCAAGGGGGGCAACCCUGACCGAGCAACGCCGCGUGAGGGAAGAAGGGUGUCGGAUCGUAAAGCUCGGUUGUAAGUCAAGAACGGGUGUGAGAGUGGAAAGUUCACACUGUGACGGUAGCUUACCAGAAAGGGACGGCCAACUACGUG